GACAGCUUUCACGGGAAAUAUAUCCCAAAAGGGGCAACAAGAGAGAGCAUCUUAUUUAAAAGAUGUUUGGGGGCACUUGGCUGGCUCCAUUGGUAGACCAUGGAACUCUUCUUUUUUUUUAAUGUUUAUGUACUUUUGAGAGAGAGUGUGUGAGCAGGAAAGGGGCAGACAGAGAGGGGGACAGAGGAUCUGAAGCGGGCUCUGUGCUGAGAGCAGAAAGCCUGAUGUGGGGCUCAAACUCACAAAUCAUGAG
rnacentral:lncRNA from 1 species